GGAGAGAUGGCAGAGCGGUCGAAUGCGGCGGUCUUGAAAACCGUUGGGGGCAACUCCCGGGGGUUCGAAUCCCUCUCUCUCCG
rnacentral:tRNA from 1 species